UACAGAGGUCCCGAGCGUUGUUCGGAUUCAUUGGGCGUAAAGGGUGCGUAGGCGGCGGGGCAAGUCUGAUGUGAAAUCCCGGGGCUCAACCCCGGAACUGCAUUGGAUACUGCCUUGCUCGAGUACUGGAGAGGGAACUGGAAUUUACGGUGUAGCAGUGAAAUGCGUAGAUAUCGUAAGGAAGACCAGUAGCGAAGGCGGGUCUCUGGACAGUUCCUGACGCUGAGGCACGAAGGCCAGGGGAGCAAACGGG
rnacentral:rRNA from 1 species